rnacentral:rRNA from 1 species
CAGUAGCCGCGGGAAUACGAAGGGGGCUAGCGUUGUUCGGAAUUACUGGGCGUAAAGCGCACGUAGGCGGACAUUUAAGUCAGGGGUGAAAUCCCGGGGCUCAACCUCGGAACUGCCUUUGAUACUGGGUGUCUUGAGUGUGGAAGAGGUAAGUGGAAUUGCGAGUGUAGAGGUGAAAUUCGUAGAUAUUCGCAGGAACACCAGUGGCGAAGGCGGCUUACUGGUCCACAACUGACGCUGAGGUGCGAAAGCGUGGGGAGCAAACAGGAUUAGAUACCCCCGUAGUCCCUGUCUCUUAUAC